UGCCGGCCCCAGGCUGGGCUGGGCUGGGCCGGCGAGUGUCUCUUCCAAAGGCUCCCCCUCAAGCAGGACUAGGAGC
rnacentral:pre_miRNA from 1 species